AUUACUGCUGCUUUCUCCGGUUGAUGGUAGUAGUGAUGGUGAUGAUGGUGAUUGUGAAGGUGCUGCUGCUGAUUACUGCUUUGUCUGGCUGAUAGUGAUAGUGGUGAUGAUGAUGAUGGUAGUGAAGGCGCUGCUGCUGAUUACUGCUCUCUCUGGUUGAUAAUGAUGAUGAUUAUGAUGAUGGUGAUAGUGAAGGCGCUGCUGCUGAUUACUGCUUUCUCUGGCUGAUAGUAAUAGUGGUGAUGAUGAUGAUAGUGAAAGUGCUGCUGCUGAUUACUGCUUUCUCUGGUUGAUAGUGAUAGUGAUGAUGAUAGUGAUGAUAGUGAAGGUGCUGCUGCUGAUUACUACUUUCUCUGGUUGAUUGUGAUGAUGAUGAUGAUAGUGAAGGCGCUGCUGCUGAUUAGUGCUUUCUCUGGUUGAUAGUGAUAAUGAUGAUGAUAGUGAUGAUAGUGAAGGCGCUGCUGCUGAUUAAUGCUUUCUCUGGUUGAUGGUAGUGGUAUUAGUUAUAACUGUGAUACUGAUGCUGCUUAUGAUGAUGAUGAUCAUUAACGAGUUGCUGCUACUGAUGAUUAUAAUUCUUGAAUUGGUUGAUGAUGAUGAUGAUGAUGCUUCCUUUGUGAUAAUAAUGGUCUUUUUAGUGUCAUAUGGUCGUUUCUGAUUGGUGUUGGUGCCUGCUCAUCGGUAGACAGUUCAAGACAGCUCCAGCUGGUGGUGGAGGAAGUUCUAUUUGCUUCUGCAUCCGAUGGUGGAGGUACAUCAUUGAUGGCUUUUAUCCGAUGGUGGAGGAACUGAUUGCUGGCUUAUAUAAUUCCGGUAGUUACAGAGGAGUUCUGUUAGUUCCUGGUCACUCCAGAUUAAGCAGACUUAUAAUCAAAUGUAUUCCGGCCACGACCAAUCCCACCAUUUAUUAAUACAACGUCAAUAUUCUUAACAUAUGUAAUAUGAGUGAUGACUGGCUGUUAUUUCUAGCAGUUUCUGAUGUCUGCUGUUGGAGGCUUUAAUGGUUUACGGGUGGCGGUUGCGUGAUAGUGUAGUAA
rnacentral:lncRNA from 1 species